rnacentral:rRNA from 1 species
CUACGGGUUGCUGCAGUGAGGAAUAUUGGGCAAUGGAGGCAACUCUGACCCAGCCAUGCCGCGUGCAGGAAGACGGCCCUCUGGGUUGUAAACUGCUUUUGUUUGGGAAUAAACCCUUCUACGUGUAGGAGGCUGAGGGUACCAUUCGAAUAAGGAUCGGCUAACUCCGUGCCAGCAGCCGCGGUAAUACGGAGGAUCCAAGCGUUAUCCGGAUUUAUUGGGUUUAAAGGGUCCGUAGGCGGGUCUUUAAGUCAGUGGUGAAAGCCCACAGCUCAACUGUGGAACUGCCAUUGAUACUGGAGAUCUUGAGUGUAGUAGAAGUAGGCGGAAUAGGGCAUGUAGCGGUGAAAUGCAUAGAUAUGCCCUAGAACACCGAUUGCGAAGGCAGCUUACUAUGUUACAACUGACGCUGAGGGACGAAAGCGUGGGGAGCAAACAGGAUUAGAUACCCGCGUAGUC